rnacentral:lncRNA from 1 species
UAGUAAAAGACGCAAAGCAAGCAAGCAGGAAGCGGAUAGUCACCAGUGAAGGCCCUUAGGACUGUGUGUGUGGCUCCAUCAGAUAAACAGUGUUGUCUGGACGUACUGCAGCUCCAGAGCGAUCUACAGCUCAGGAGGCACCAUUCCAAAAAGAUCAACGUCACCUGCCUGCGCUUUCUUUUCCAACACCAUCUCUUCAAUGUAAAUCUCCCAAUGCCUUUGACAAAAAAGCAGGCUACAUUUUUCCAUGAAUCUGAAAGCUGUCUGGCAUUUGUUGUACCGUUCAUGCCAAUUUGAUAUGUAAAUAAAUGCAUUUUGUGCAAGUGUUAUAUAUUCUCCCACUGUUAAAUAAUGUAAUGUUAAUAAGAAAGUGACAGACUGAGGUGUAUCUCCUGAGAUUGCCUUUUUUUAUAGGCAGUAAGCAGGGACAGUGGGCAAGCGGUGAUCUAAGCCAGUGCGAGGAGGUAAAUGUCAUGCACUGCUUGUUUUUAUUGGAGGUUCUGGCACAAUCUGCCCUUUUCCGUUCCUGAGACCUAUUGUUUAAAUAGGAGCUUUUAAUGCAGGGCACCAGAUGGGCUCUCAAACAAGUGUGGAUAGAGGCAUGUUUACCGGUCAGCGGUGUGUGCAGA